AAGAUCAGGUACUUCUAUGUAGUGAACUAUGAUCACGUACUUCUAUGUAGUGAACUAUGAUCAGGUAUUUCUAUGUAGUGAACUAUGAUCAGGUACUUCUAUGUAGUGAACUAUGAUCACGUACUUCUAUGUAGUGAACUAUGAUCACGUACUUCUAUGUAGUGAACUAUGAUCAGGUAUUUCUAUGUAGUGAACAAUGAUCAGGUACUUCUAUGUAGUGAACUAUGAUCAGGUAUGUAGUGAACUAUGAUCAGGUACUUCUAUGUAGUGAACUAUGAUCAGGUACUUCUAUGUAGUGAACUAUGAUCAGGUACUUCUAUGUAGUGAACUAUGAUCAGGUACUUCCAUUGAUCUGCUGUAACAUUGUACAGUGAGGUUUAUGUCGCGAGUCCAUCAGUCUGCAAUGCAAAAUAUAAAUACAUGCCAUAUACUGUAUCAAGAACUUCUAGUUCAAGCACUUUAUAUUAUUUGUGUAUGAAAUACAUUUGCUUGUAAACAAAAUAUAUUCUGCAACAUUUGUUUUGUGAUAUCCAUUAUUUUUAUUUUAAACCAGUCACAAUUUGAUGCAACAUUGAGCAUGUAAAGUCUUUCCAUUUUGAUAGUUUGAUGUCAUUUUGUUUCUUGAGUAUUAAUUAACAAUAUUCUGUGAUUUUAUUGUGGUAUAUGAAGAUAUCAAGUACACUGUAAUGGCCUGUUUAAAUUACCUGUUGAUUUUUUUGUGUGUGGCUGAAUGUAGAUAAACAUUCUUUGACAUACGGUAUUUGUAACACCAAAAACCUGUGCUUUGUGCUGAAAAAUAGUGUCUCUAGACCAGUUAUCACAUUUCUAUCAUUUGUCCUUGAAAAUAUUGGUUGCUAUAUAGUUUGCAAGAUGAAAUUAUUUUAGUAUCAAUUGUCUAAAUUAUCAAGUUGAUAUAAUCUCGCAUCUCGCUGUUUUCAUCUCACUGCAGAAAGUAACGAAUUUCUAGUAUAGUUUUUGUUGAAGGGAUUCGCUUUCUUUGUGAUAAUAACAAAUCAUGACAUGUUUCUAUUGUGAUGAUUUAACCAAUAUGUUUUACAUACAAUAUACAGCAAAAUCAUUUUGUAUAACCUUCAAAUGUCUUUGGUGGGUCUUCAUAUUAGUGGCAGCUAAAUAUAAAUGGCAGAGAAACCUGGUUUGAUUUGAAAAGGAAAAUGCUUUGGAAUACAUGUUUUAUUUUUAUUCCAACUUCAAAGAACAUUUUCAUUUAAUUCUAUAUUGAAUUAUGUACAAGUGUUUACUUUACAAAUAAGAUAAAAUUUCUUAACAACUU